AAAAUCAAUCUUUGUUCUCACCAGUCACCACCUCAUAAUCUUCUCUCUCUGCUCUUUUUCUUUUUUACUUUUUUCAGAGCGCCAUGGAUUUGGAGUCAGUAAAGAAAUCUCUUGAAGACAAAUCCACCUCCUUCGAUCCUCUCCAUCGCAACCUCUACAACUCCUUCAUCCUCAACGCCCUCCGCGUCGACCUCGUCGAGCCCCACCGCGUUCUCUGCUCUCUCACCGUCAUCCCUCGCCUCCGCAAUGAUGGCAAUUAUUUGCACGGCGGAGUGAUUGCGACGCUGGUGGAUUUGGUUGGAUCGGCGGUGUUCUUUGCUGCUGGGCACUCGACGAGCGGGGUUUCUUUGGAGUUGAAUGUUUCUCAUUUUGAUGCCGCCUUUGUUGGUGAUGAAAUUUUGAGAUUGAGGCCAAGCUUUUACACGGCGGAAAGGCAGCUGGGGUCACUUCGGUGGAAAUAAGGAAGAAGAAGACUGGAAAGUUAAUAGCACAGGGGCGCCAUACUAAAUACCUUGCUGUAUCUAAUACAAGGCUGAAAGUUUCUUCUAGCUGAAGAGUCCAGAAGGGUAUAACUCCAGCAAAAGAGUUGUAGCCUUUGCGCUCGUGCCACUUUCAGUUCAGAAGGUAAGGCAUUGUUUGAUUGCAUUUACUUUGAAGGAAAAAGUUGGAAAGUUCAACAAAUUGUGGAGUCUACAGAUUUUGGUGAAAGUUAAAAAUUUUGUCAGAAAUCCCAUGAGAUACAAUCCAAAUAGACGAUAUACUCAAGCGAUAAGUGCUAAUGCGUAUAUCCACUUCCAUAUUGCGUCAUAAGGCCCCAGGGAUUAUUUUUCUCCAGAGAAGGUAAAAAAAAGAAGAGGAAAACAAAUUCUUUAUUGGUGUUUUCUUCAUCUAUGUCUAUGAGUGUCUGUAUGAAAAUCAGAUAAAAUUGUUUUUAAUUAGUUCUACUAGACUAUGAGAUCAUUAUUCCUAAUUCAUUGCAACUUUGGACUUUUAUUAUAGGAAAAAAGAUUUAUGUUGGUAUUGAAACAAUCUAUAUUCAAAUCCAUCGAAAAUUUAUUUUAAAUGGGCUAAAAAAGAUAUUGUUGCAUGUAAUCCAUGUACAGAUCUAUGAAAGUGCCUCGCAACCUAUGGUACAUGCUAGAGUAUAAAAUGAUUGACCGUCACAAUUUUAGAUUUUUU